GGAAAGGGAGAGAGUGAGAGCCAGGAAGGAAGCUUCUAGUUAGGAAAGGUAGGAGAUGUGGAUGCCCUCAUGCUGCCAUGGGAGGAUUAUAGGAAUGGUAUUACUUACAGUCGCUGUCUGCAGGGCUGUUGUCUGGAGUACAGAUGAUAACCCCAAACAUACAUGUGAAGGAGGGGCUUGAAAACCAGGAAAGGGAGCCCCUCUCCCAGUGUAGCGGAGCCAGUCCAAGCAGAAGGUGACAAGGAAUGCUGCUGGAACUCAGCAUCCAGUCUCACAGAGCCUGAAGAAAGGCCAGUCAGCUGGUCCUCCUCUCAUGCCUGUUCUGCUCGACACAAAGGACUGGAAGCAUCAGUGUGUCUCUGGAGUCCAGCAUGGAGGUACCGGUGUGUGGCCAGAUGGCUGGAGUUCAGGCUGAAUCUGUUCUUGCCGAUGGCAAGUUCUCUAACUUCCAGCCAGGUGCUUCUCCACUGCCUCCCCGCAACACACAGGGUACAAAUUUAAAGCCAGUUGUCUAGCUUCUGUUGCUACUUGCCUCUGCUUAGAAUAGCUGAGCCGAAUGGAUCUUAGAAAUCUCUCUCUUUUGCAUGUCAAUCAUAUCUGAAUAAAGUGGUUCUUUUACAAAAGAAAAUCUUUUCACUCUCUCUUUUUCUCUCUCCCUCUCUUUCUCCGCCUUCAGUUCUUUUCUCCUUCCUUCUCUCUCUCUCCUUUUAACCUUCUUUGUAUUUGUCUUUAUUUCUCUAUCUCUGUCUCUCCACGCCUCACCGCCCCCUGCCCCAACACAUGCACAUACACUUUGCAAUGGCACCUGAGCCACCUCUGGCAAAUCCUGGGGCACUGGAAAGUAAUGAGAAAACCAUUGACUAGGCCCAAACCCCUCAUUCUACAGAGGAGGAACAGAGACCCAGAGGAGGGAAGUGAUUUGCCUGAGGUCACACAGUCGAACGCCCUGACUCCCAAUCUCAUGUGCUUUCUUUUUUAUGGCACUGAAUACAGAACCCUUUUUCAAGUUUCCAUUCUAAAAU
rnacentral:lncRNA from 10 species